AUCGACAUAGUGUAUGGGUUGCAUGAUAAGCUAGGAGCUUAUAGGGCAAGGUUCAAAUCCUUGUGUUGAUACCA
rnacentral:tRNA from 1 species